ACAGUUAUGAACAGUAAUACAGUGCCGUGACUCUUUUGCCCUUCCAUUCUCUGGCGUGGGACUCCGCGUGGCUCUGUUUCUUUGCUGCACGAACAGAGAGCAUAGAGAGUUCAAGAACGAUCGAGGGAGAGAGAGAGAGGUGAUAUUCAGAGGCUUUGCGUCUUUGCUCCGGAGAAGUACAGAGAGGGUAAGAGGUGAAGAACAAUAGGGAGAGAAGACCCAUUUCAAUUCGAUCCGUUUCGACUUCCGCUAAGCUACGCUCUCUUUGGCUAUGUUUUCAGAUGGUGAUGGGAGUGAAUGAAAGUGAUCAGAAAAGGCUACGUCCUCCAGUCCUAUUUAGAGCGAGAAGCCACUAGCAAUCUACUCCAGAAGCAAGGUAACUCUCUUUGAUACCUGCUCAUACCUAUUUGAUGGCGUAUCCUCCAGAAGCAACUCAUGCAUCAAAGUUGCAAUGGACUUUGUCUCACCUGAAAAUAUCGGCGAGUGCUUUCACUUGACAGAAGCAUUCCUCACACUUCCUGAAAAUCAUAGGGCUAAAGCAGUCAAAUUGGAGGAACUGGGGAGUUUGGUUUCUCUAAAAUGGCAUUGGCUGAAUCAUACGCUGAACAAAUGGAUUUACCAGAGUUAGGUUAUGAAUAUCGAGCCAUCGUUGGGAUACCUUCAGAGCAGUUUAAACAUCUUAUCAUACAUCUGCACUACUUUGAGGAUCUGGUACUUACAUCUGCACUACAUUCGUUUUGGAAUUUAGAAUAUUUCCAGGUAAGUUUUUCUAAGUAAAGAGACCAAAGGUUAAAACACUAUUGCAGAUGAUGCUUUACACUUGAUCUCUGAACUUCAGGUAAGUUCAAUGUUGACAAGCUAUUAACUGAUGCAAUUUUGUUUGUAUAUCUUUUCACACUUUCCUCUUUAUUAGUAGCACAGGGGAAAACUGUGAAUUUUUCAAAGUUUUGUAACAUUGUUAAAACACAAUUGCAUCAUUUCAAAAAAAAAAAAAAAAAAACACACUCACACACAAUUGCAUAUGAUGGUUUA